rfam:Triticum aestivum genome assembly, contig: Triticum_aestivum_CS42_TGACv1_scaffold_049980_1BS
GAAGUACUCCCUCCGUCCCAAAAAAUUUGUCUUAGAUUUGUCUAGAUACGGAUGUACCUAAUACUAAAACGUGACUUGAUGCAUUCGUAUUUGGAUAAAUCUAAGACAAGAAUUUUGGGACGGAGAGAGUACUUU